UCUAAUACCGGAUACUGACCCGCUUGGGCAUCCAAGCGGUUCGAAAGCUCCGGCGGUGCAGGAUGAGCCCGCGGCCUAUCAGCUUGUUGGUGAGGUAAUGGCUCACCAAGGCGACGACGGG
rnacentral:rRNA from 6 species